rnacentral:misc_RNA from 1 species
GAUGAAGAACGCAGCGAAAUGCCAUACGUAAUGUGAAUUGCAGAAUUCAGUGAAUCAUCGAGUCUUUGAACGCACAUUGCGCCCCCUGGUAUUCCGGGGGGCAUGCCUGUCCGAGCGUCAUUGCUGCCCUCAAGCACGGCUUGUGUGUUGGGCCUCCGCCCCCCGGCUCCCGGGGGCGGGCCCGAAAGGCAGCGGCGGCACCGCGUCCGGUCCUCGAGCGUAUGGGGCUUCGUCACCCGCUCCGUAGGCCCGGCCGGCGCCCGCCGGCGACCCCCCUCAAUCUUUCCAGGUUGACCUCGGAUCAGGUAGGGAUACCCGCUGAACUUAAGCAUAUCAAUAAGCGGAGGA